rnacentral:tRNA from 1 species
GGUUCGGUGGUCUAGGGGUAUGAUUCUCGCUUAGGGUGCGAGAGGUCCCGGUUCAAAUCCCGGCCGAACCC